rnacentral:rRNA from 1 species
UUAUAAAAAAAAAUUAAUUGAUAAGAAAUUAAAUGAGAUCAUUAAAUUUAAAUAAUUUGGCGGUAUUUUAAAUAGUUAGAGGAAUUUGUUAGUUAAAUGAUGCUCCACGAAUGGAAUGUCCUAAUGUAGUUUUUAUGUAUUGUUGUAUUAAAAUUAUUUUAUAAGAAAUAUAGUUAAUAUAUUAUAUUUAAUUUGAAUUCAAAUCAAAAUGUAGAAUUAUUAGGAUUAAAUGAAUUACAGUUUAAUGUAAUAUUGAAAUUAUUUUUUAAAUUAAAAUAAUGAAAGCGGAUUUAAAAGUAAAUUUAAAUAAAUAUUUAGAUUGAAAUUUUAAUUAAAAUAUG